GUAGAAGGCAGCGAUUGUUUAUGAGCAGCUUGACAAAUCACUCAGAGGGGGGCAAGUUAGCUUCAAAUGGUUUGUUUGUAUAGACUUGGCUUUGCAUCUUCAUGGAUGAUUAUUCUCCUUCCAGACAAUCAUGUGUGUUAAGAAGAUGCUUGAAUUUUUUAUUUGUGUUUGCUUGUAUACAUUCGCACAUUCCGCUCCAAAGCAUGCACCUGGUACAGUGUACAUUAACCAUUUGGACAUAUCAAGGCACAUUAGUUAGUGUUUGUGUAUGAGAUAGACUCUGUGGCUGUGUGUGUGUGUGUGUGUGUGUGUGUGUGUGUGUGUGUGUGUGUGUGUGUGUGUUGUGUGAGACAAACUCUGGCUGUGUGUGUCUGUAUGAGCCAGACUGGCUGUGUGUGUGUGUGUGAGAGAGAGAGAGAGAGAGACAGACAGACUCUGGCUGUGUGUGUGUGUGUGUAAAACUUUUUUACUUUGCUUCCUGUUGCAUUUUCCUCUCACGGUCCUGUGGGUAACAAUCUGUUCUCACCACUGUGGUGCAUUAACAAAUGAGCCAUGGCCUUCAUCCAUCUGAGGUGGCUAGAACUCUGAUACUGAUGAUACUGAUCAGGACUGUCUCCUGGGCUAAAGCUGAUGAGGAACUUCAGAAGGUGGUGAGUUCAUUGCACAGCUGAAGCCUGAGAGGUCCAAUCUCUGGAGACUCUGCAAGACAUGGUGCAUGACAUGGGGAACCAGCUCUAUGAGACCGACAGGACGUGUGUGAUAAGCUAAAAAAAACCAAACAAACCUGUAAGCGAGAAAAAAUUUACAUUAAGCAGCUCCUUUAGGAAUAUCUGAGGAAAUAAUUUUAAGAAUUUUCAUGUUUAUGUGUUUUGUAAAAUUGUUUUGCUAAUACAUGUCUGUUGUAGUAAACUGUCUGUUAUGGGCCAGAACAGUAAAUCACAUACCUCUGGGACUUGCAAACUGCAAAAAUAUGGAUAUUUAUCACAACAAGAUUCUGAUGUUUGAUUUCAUUUUUAUUUUUGACACCAUUGUUGCAUGCUUACAUGGAAAACUGAAAAGGAAAUGGCAUUAUUUUAUUUAAUUUUCUUUUUGCCACCUUCUUUGCACCCACAUAUGGGAAAAAAUAACACUGAAACACAUUUUGCAUUUAAAUUUAAAAUUUUAAUUUUUGGAUUUUAAUUUAACUUUUGGCACAAAAUAUCUCCUAUGACUAAAAUACUGGCAAAUGAAGAAUUUUACAGUAAUAAACAUUGGGUCUGCAAAGUG